rnacentral:misc_RNA from 1 species
AUUGUCAUGCCUGCUGCUCCUGCCUCAGCACUUUCUCCCAUGCCAUAUGGCAUGCCUUCUGGAUCUUCUCUCACAAAAAAUGACAUGAGGAACACUGGAAUUGAUCGAAGAAAAAGGAAGAAAGAAGUUUAACCUGAACUUUCAGCUUCUUUGACUGCAGUGGAGCAAAUAUAUCUGUUGCGGUAGUUAUACAUAUUAAUUUGUUUUAUAAGGCUCAUAAUGUGUGAAUGAUUUAGCCAUUCAAAAUAAUCAGCUCUGAAGUUUUAGAUGGGUCAAGGACCAAUCUACAAUAUCUACCCUUUUUUUUUUUUUAAAAAAAAAAAA